ACCAAGAUGGCCGAGAGGUUAUGGCGGUGGAUUUAAGUUAAUUAUGGCGCUCAUCUCCACUAUCGAAAGAUUCCUGGGUUCGAACCCCAGUCUUGGUA
rfam:Claviceps purpurea 20.1, WGS project CAGA01000000 data, contig: scaffold00006